rnacentral:misc_RNA from 1 species
GCAAACUUGGUCAUUUAGAGGAAGUAAAAGUCGUAACAAGGUUUCCGUAGGUGAACCUGCGGAAGGAUCAUUAAUGUGUUGUCAAUGGGGUUUGAUGCUGGCCACCCAAGAAAACUUGGGUUGGCAUGUGCUUGCCCUGACAAUCAUCUUCCAAACACACCUGUGCACUAUUUUCAAGGGAUUUGUGAGUUUGACUUUGCCACUUUUUCUGGCGAGAUAUUCUUGCAUUCCCCCUUGGAUGAUUUAUCAUACACCGUUAGCAAUGUUGAACGUGUUUUUGUGCCGCAAGGCCUCUAUAAUAAUACAACUUUUAACAACGGAUCUCUUGGCUCUCGCAUCGAUGAAGAACGCAGC